rnacentral:lncRNA from 1 species
AUGCCACAAUUUGAGACAUCACAAUGGCAAACGUGCCGUCACAAUGGCAAACAUGGUAAUAUCUCUACAACUCCAUGCCUCUGUUUGAUCUGCAGUAAGGAUACAUAUGAUAAGGAAGUUGACAGAAAUAAAAGGCAAGUCCAAUCUGAAUGUUUUCUAUAUAAAUACAUAAAAGAAAACUGUAUUAACCAUCAGAUUCAUAUUCUAGAAAAAACACUUUUUCUGAAUAUGUUCUUCUCUUUUCCUAUUUUUGACUUGGUUUGAGCCGUUACAUUAGCAAAAAUGGUAAGAAAUGUCAUGUGACAACAGACCUGUAUUAACAAUAAAAUGCAAUAUAUAUAUUUUAUUCUGAAAAUCAAUGUAUUUUGGAACAUAUUCUUCUGUUUCAUUCUUUGCAUGACUCUUUCUAUCUACAUGCCAUGGUUUGAGCCAUCCCAAUGGUGAAAAAUGGUAAGAUAACAGCAAUACUGGAAUACAUUACAGGACUUUUUAAAAGAUUUAAAUCAGUGGUUCAGAACAAUUGAUUCGCAAAAGUUUCAAAGAAGCUUCAGAAAGCAGUGUUUCAAAAGCAUACAGCACUGUUCUAUUAUGUCAUAUCGACGACUACUUUUCUUGGUUUUCAUAGCCAAACUUGGACAGCCUAUGGUUACUAUAGUUCUAUAAUUAUUCAUAAAUCUCCUUUUGUGUUCCAUUGAAAAAAUAUGAGGGUGAGCAAAUAAUGACAGACUUAGGGACCAAUCACUGAUUAAUUAUCAAGAAGUGUGAGGGGGUGUUAGGUGUUUUAAUUAGCAACUGACCCUCUGGGAUUCAUAGGUAGCAAACAUUUGCAUAUGUUAAUAAACAUGCCAGCAGGACACUCUUGGCAUGCAUAUGCCCAACUAUGCCUAAAGUCAAAGUGUGUGUGUAACAAUGAGACUGAAUUUGGUUAAUAAGCUCUCAAGUGAAUGCAACAUUUAGAUGUCCAUCAACAAUAUAUAUUGACAAGGCUCGACAGCUCAACCCAGAUGGUGUGGGAGUGUGAGGGGCCACUGAGGGCCAUUGAAGUGCUCUACAUUUGUUUACCAAACUGUUCCUACCACUGUCAGGAAAAAAAAAAUGAGAAACACUCACAACAGAAUGUCAGAACACUUGAGCUUAGUGAGCCUUGUAGGUCAGUGGUACUGGAUGAAUUACAAGUUUAACGAAACAGGGAGAACAUUGGAGGAAUGUAGAUCCAAGAAAAACUCCUCUGCUUUACUGCUUUAUUCUCAACAGUUCUGACAGAAACGAGUGUACUAUGUUGAUAUUCUGAAUUAUGACUCACAAAGUAGAAUG